rnacentral:rRNA from 1 species
CGGGAAUCUUGGACAAUGGGGGCAACCCUGAUCCAGCAAUGCCGCGUGUGGGAUGAAGGCCUUCGGGUUGUAAACCACUUUUGGCGGGGGCGAAAUAUCGAGUGCUAAUACCAUUCGGUGAUGACGGUACCCGCAGAAUAAGCACCGGCUAACUACGUGCCAGCAGCCGCGGUAAUACGUAGGGUGCAAAGCGUUAAUCGGAAUUACUGGGCGUAAAGCGUGCGCAGGCGGUUAGGUAAGACAGUGUGAAAUUCCCGGGCUCAACCUGGGAACUGCAUUUGUGACUGCCUGACUAGAGUGCGGCAGAGGGGAGUGGAAUUCCGCGUGUAGCAGUGAAAUGCGUAGAUAUGCGGAGGAACACCGAUGGCGAAGGCAACUCCCUGGGCCUGCACU